rnacentral:rRNA from 1 species
UGGGGAAUAUUGCACAAUGGGCGAAAGCCUGAUGCAGCCAUGCCGCGUGUGUGAAGAAGGCCUUCGGGUUGUAAAGCACUUUCAGCGAGGAGGAAGGGUUCAGUGUUAAUAGCACUGUGCAUUGACGUUACUCGCAGAAGAAGCACCGGCUAACUCCGUGCCAGCAGCCGGGGUAAUACGGGGGGUGCAAGCGUUAAUCGGAAUUACUGGGCGUAAAGCGCACGCAGGCGGUUUGUUAAGUCAGAUGUGAAAUCCCCGCGCUUAACGUGGGAACUGCAUUUGAAACUGGCAAGCUAGAGUCUGGUAGAGGGGGGUAGAAUUCCAGGUGUAGCGGUGAAAUGCGUAGAGAUCUGGAGGAAUACCGGUGGCGAAGGCGGCCCCCUGGACAAAGACUGACGCUCAGGUGCGAAAGCGUGGGGAGCAAACA